AUUCAUAUCAUCACCAUCUCCAUUACCCCUCGCUCCACGAGGAUUCUCACAUCUGCUCAAUAAUAUUGCAGGACCUCAUCGGAAGACGGUCAACACCCAUACUAUCCAUAGCCACAAGUCCCACCCAGUAGUUGGGGACAAUACUUUCCAAAUUUGCAAACCAAUGAUGCUGCGGUUCCUGGAGGAAUAUAAUCUUCAAACCCAGGUGUACCUUUUCCCCAUGAUGGUAUGAUAUCUAAGCUUGCUAUCAACCAACUAUUGAAUAUCUUAUUUGUUUUGUAAGUAAGGCUCACACCAUCAAGAGACAAAGAAUUCUCAAGAGGAGAGUACCCUGAACCUCUUGACUUUUUUCAAAGGAUUUUAUAUGUAGAUCAUUGAGAGGCCUCACAAAAAUUUUGUUUACGAGCUUCUUCUACAUGGCUCCGUGUCUGUUAGAUCUUCAAUUCAUGUUUCGCCGAAUCAUGCACAUCCUCACAAGUGGCCGUCAUUUGAUGUUCCUGCUUAUUAUUGAAGACCAGUGUAAAGUUAAAGCAGAAGGUUCUCUUUCCUGAUUCUGGUAUGAAUGGUCCAUGAUAGAUGAUUAUUAUGUCCUAUCCCACAGGAACAUGCCCUGUUUCUGCUAUCCCGAAAGCAUAUCUGAAUCUUCUGAACUAUGAAAAAUUUUAUUUUCCUCAUUUCAGCUGUCUUGUGAAAUGUCAAAGUUUGCAUUGUUCGUUUUACCUCAAGUUGGUCGAUGAAUAACUUUCAAAAGGCCUGCUUCAGUAGAAGAGAAUGUGAUAUGGUGUGGGCUACUGGCAAGGCUGUGCAUGUUAUAUUUUGUGUUGAUGGCUCCAUCUAAGAUGUUGAUCAAAGUUAAGAAUAAUAACUUGCUAUUCAUCAUGAGAUGAAGCCUCUAUGGAAUGACUGUUAUCUAGUUUAAAUAAAACUAGUGUUGUUGCAUUAAUUAAUGAUUAUGCUGGCCAGAGUGUUCUGUAGUGAUACCUUAAGACAUUUUGAAUU